rnacentral:misc_RNA from 1 species
GAUGAAGAACGCAGCGAAAUGCGAUAAGUAAUGUGAAUUGCAGAAUUCAGUGAAUCAUCGAAUCUUUGAACGCACAUUGCGCCCCUUGGUAUUCCGGGGGGCAUGCCUGUUCAAGCGUCAUUAUAACCCCUCAAGCUCAGCUUGGUGUUGGGGCCUGCCAACUGGCAGCCCUUAAAAUCAGUGGCGGCGCCAUCUGGCUCUAAGCGUAGUAAUUUCUCUCGCUAUAGGGUCCCGGUGGAUGCUUGCCAACAACCCCCAAUUUUCUAUGGUUGACCUCGGAUCAGGUAGGGAUACCCGCUGAACUUAAGCAUAUCAAUAAGCGGAGGA